rnacentral:rRNA from 1 species
CAAGGAAUUUUCCGCAAUGGGCGAAAGCCUGACGGAGCAACGCCGCGUGGGGGAUGACGCUUUUCGGAGUGUAAACCCCUUUUCUCAGGGAUGAACAAAUGACAGUACCUGAGGAAGAAGGCCCGGCUAACUACGUGCCAGCAGCCGCGGUAAUACGUAGGGGUCGAGCGUUGUCCGGAGUUACUGGGCGUAAAGCGCGCGCAGGCGGCGCGAUAAGACCGGCGUGAAAGCCCCCGGCUCAACCGGGGAGGGUCGUUGGUGACUGUCGCGCUUGAAGGCAGCAGGGGUGAGUGGAACUCCCGGUGUAGUGGUGAAAUGCGUAGAGAUCGGGAAGAACACCCGUGGCGAAGGCGGCUCACUGGGCUGACCUUGACGCUGAGGCGCGAAGGCGUGGGGAGCGAACGG